rnacentral:rRNA from 1 species
UACAGAGGGUGCGAGCGUUGUUCGGAAUUAUUGGGAGUAAAGCGCGUGUAGGCGGCCUGUUAAGUCACGUGCGAAAGCCCCAGGCUCAACCUGGGAAGUGCGCGUGAAGCUGGCGGGCUUGAAUCCUGGAGAGGGUGGCGGAAUUCCCGGUGUAGAGGUGAAAUUCGUAGAUAUCGGGAGGAACACCAGAGGCGAAGGCGGCCACCUGGACAGAGAUUGACGCUGAGACGCGAAAGCGUGGGGAGCAAACAGG